rnacentral:rRNA from 1 species
CUGGUUGAUUCUGCCAGUAGUCAUAUGCUUGUCUCAAAGAUUAAGCCAUGCAUGUCUAAGUAUAAGCAAUCUAUACGGUGAAACUGCGAAUGGCUCAUUAAAUCAGUUAUCGUUUAUUUGAUAGUACCUUACUACUUGGAUACCUGUGGUAAUUCUAGAGCUAAUACAUGCUAAAAACCUCAACUUCGGAAGGGGUGUAUUUAUUAGAUAAAAAACCAAUGCCCUUCGGGGCUCCUUGGUGAUUCAUAAUAACUUCACGAAUCGCAUGGCCUUGAGCCGGCGAUGGUUCAUUCAAAUUUCUGCCCUAUCAACUUUCGAUGGUAGUAUAGAGGACUACCAUGGUUUCUACGGGUAACGGGGAAUUAGGGUUCUAUUCCGGAGAGGGAGCCUGAGAAACGUAAGUCACUUAUUAUACCCACCCGUUCCACAUAUCGAAUCGAAUGCUAACUUUUUAUUAACAGGGCUACCACAUCCAAGGAAGGCAGCAGGCGCGCAAAUUACCCAAUCCCGACACGGGGAGGUAGUGACAAUAAAUACUGAUCCAGGGCUCUUUUGGGUCUUGGAAUUGGAAUGAGUACAAUUUAAAUCCCUUAACGAGGAACAAUUGGAGGGCAAGUCUGGUGCCAGCAGCCGCGGUAAUUCCAGCUCCAAUAGCGUAUAUUAAAGUUGUUGCAGUUAAAAAGCUCGUAGUUGAAACUUGGGCCUGGCUGACCGGUCCGCCUCACCGCGUGCACUGGCUCGGCCGGGCCUUUCCUUCUGGGGAACCGCAUGGCCUUCAUUGGUCGUGUUGGGGAUCCAGGACUUUUACUUUGAAAAAAUUAGAGUGUUCAAAGCAGGCCUAUGCUCGAAUACAUUAGCAUGGAAUAAUAGAAUAGGACGUGUGGUUCUAUUUUGUUGGUUUCUAGGACCGCCGUAAUGAUUAAUAGGGAUAGUCGGGGGCAUCAGUAUUCAAUUGUCAGAGGUGAAAUUCUUGGAUUUAUUGAAGACUAACUACUGCGAAAGCAUUUGCCAAGGAUGUUUUCAUUAAUCAGUGAACGAAAGUUAGGGGAUCGAAGACGAUUGUAUUUGGUCGUCCAUAGUGAGCGCAGCAUCAUCUAGUUGGGAGCCCUCCCCUGCGCGGGAGCGCUCCUGGCCACAUCACCAAACUGAUGGGGCUCCCCCGCCUUUUGCGGCGGGGUGAAACCCACAGCCAAGCUCUUCGGAGUGCAGUCUACAGACUGAAUGUUGAUGGGCGGGCCUUGAGGGGCCCGUUUCUAAUAUAGUCGAGUCCCCCGGGAGUUUCUUUCCGGGGGUGUUUUACGCAGAUACCGUCGUAGUCUUAACCAUAAACUAUGCCGACUGGGGAUCGGACGGUGUUAUUAUUUUGACCCGUUCGGCACCCUACGAGAAAUCAAAGUCUUUGGGUUCUGGGGGGAGUAUGGUCGCAAGGCUGAAACUUAAAGAUAUUGACGGAAGGGCACCA